GUAAUAUAUGUAGUGUGGCAUGUACCAUCUACAUAGAGUCUUUUAAUCCUCUCUACAUGAACCAAGCAACAGGAAUUGUCCUGACAAAGUUUCUCCCGAAUUUGGUCAGCGAAAGUGCUGUGCAAAUUGAUGUGCUCCAUCAAGUCCGCAUCAUAGUUAUGAACAUAACACUCAUCCUACAUAUUAGGGAUACCCACUGAAAAUCAGUCAGAACGGCAAAUUCAAUUUUGGUCAUCCUUAAAACCAAUAGUUUUAAUUGGAGGGAUUUUGAGCUGCAAUCAUGUUUAACAUCUGUUCUGUGUGUGUGGGAUGAACUUAGGAUUGUUGCGAAGUCAGUCAAACAACAUAUCCAGUCCUUGCCCAAAAAUGUAUGUUUUAAUGUGGAACACUUGUUGGUUUCCCCAUUUUAGUUAUUAAUCCGAAUUGGUUUUGGAGAAUGAAUGACUACCUGUUCGGACCAGCUUCCCUGCCUUAUUUGUGUCCAAGUCUGGACGAGGUGAAC
rnacentral:lncRNA from 1 species